GUUUGAUGAAAACGGCAAAUACAAGUUCAGCAAAGCCGAGGCUGAGAUUGAACAGAAGGGGCUGGAAGCUGAGUUCCUGAAGAAAAUGAAGGAAGAGCACUCAUCUUGUAAGGAUAACGCUGAGAAGAAAUUCCCUGAAGAUAACGUACUUCAGGUUCAAUUUUACCAACAGUGCAUGGAUUACAGCAUCUCUAAGAUCUGUGAAAUCGAAGUUGUUCCUCCGACAGACUAACAAGAAUGGAACUGAACAAUGAAGAACAAUCUAACAUGGCGAAAGAUUUUCGUAGCAGCUGUUGCAUGUAGAUCUUUUGUAACUUUUAUAUAUGUCUCUUGUUUUUUUUUUAUAUUCUUCUGAAGAGU